rnacentral:rRNA from 1 species
CAAUAGCGUAUAUUGAAGUUGUUGCGGUUAAAAAGCUCGUCGUUGGAUUUCUGUUGAGGUCGAACAGUGCCGCCCUAUGGGUGCGCAACUGGCUCGGCUUCGGCAUCUUCUUGGAGAGCGCAUCUGCACUUAACUGUGUGGAUCGUACUUCAAGUCAGUUACUUUGAGGAAUUGGGAGUGUUUCAAGCAGGCUUACGCCGUUGAAUCCGUUAGCAUGGAAUAAUAGGAUAGGACCUCGGUUCUAUUUUGUUGGUUUUGAGAGCUGGGGCAGCGAUUGAUAGGGACGGAUGGGGGCGUCCGAACUUUACUGUCAGAGGUGAAAUUCUUAGAUCGGUCAAAGGCGAACUACUGCGAACGCAUUCGCCAAGAAUGUUUUCUUUAA